UAUUGGUCAAUGGGCGGGAGCCUGAACCAGCCAAGUCGCGUGAGGGAAGACGGUCCUACGGAUUGUAAACCUCUUUUGCCGGGGAGCAACGGGGUCCUUGCGAGGGCCCGAUGAGAGUACCCGGAGAAACAGCAUCGGCUAACUCCGUGCCAGCAGCCGCGGUAAUACGGAGGAUGCGAGCGUUAACCGGAUUUAUUGGGUUUAAAGGGUGCGUAGGCGGGCUGUUAAGUCAGCGGUCAAAUGUCGGGGCUCAACCCCGGCCUGCCGUUGAAACUGGCGGCCUCGAGUGGGCGAGAAGUAUGCGGAAUGCGUGGUGUAGCGGUGAAAUGCAUAGAUAUCACGCAGAACUCCGAUUGCGAAGGCAGCAUACCGGCGCCCUACUGACGCUGAGGCACGAAAGCGUGGGGAUCGAACAGGA
rnacentral:rRNA from 1 species